GCGCCCGUAGCUCAGUUGGAUAGAGUAUUGGUUUCCGAAGCCAAAGGUCACAGGUUCGAAUCCUGUCGGGCGCGCCA
rnacentral:tRNA from 2 species